rnacentral:rRNA from 1 species
UGGGGAAUUUUGGACAAUGGGCGAAAGCCUGAUCCAGCAAUGCCGCGUGUGUGAAGAAGGCCUUCGGGUUGUAAAGCACUUUUGUCCGGAAAGAAAUCCUUGGCUCUAAUACAGUCGGGGGAUGACGGUACCGGAAGAAUAAGCACCGGCUAACUACGUGCCAGCAGCCGCGGUAAUACGUAGGGUGCAAGCGUUAAUCGGAAUUACUGGGCGUAAAGCGUGCGCAGGCGGUUUGCUAAGACCGAUGUGAAAUCCCCGGGCUCAACCUGGGAACUGCAUUGGUGACUGGCAGGCUAGAGUAUGGCAGAGGGGGGUAGAAUUCCACGUGUAGCAGUGAAAUGCGUAGAGAUGUGGAGGAAUACCGAUGGCGAAGGCAGCCCCCUGGGCCAAUACUGACGCUCAUGCACGAAAAGCGUGGGGAGCAAAACAGGAUUAGAUACCCUGGUAGUCCACGCCCUAAAACGAUGUCAACUAGUUGUUGGGGAUUCAUUUCCUUAGUAACGUAGCUAACGCGUGAAGUUGACCGCCUGGGGAGUACGGUCGCAAAGAUUAAAAACUUUAAAUGAAUUGACGGGGUCAUAGCUGUUUCCU